rnacentral:rRNA from 1 species
UACGGAGGGAGCUAGCGUUGUUCGGAAUUACUGGGCGUAAAGCGCACGUAGGCGGCUUUGUAAGUUAGAGGUGAAAGCCCGGGGCUCAACUCCGGAAUUGCCUUUAAGACUGCAUCGCUAGAAUUGUGGAGAGGUGAGUGGAAUUCCGAGUGUAGAGGUGAAAUUCGUAGAUAUUCGGAAGAACACCAGUGGCGAAGGCGACUCACUGGACACAUAUUGACGCUGAGGUGCGAAAGCGUGGGGAGCAAACAGG